rnacentral:tRNA from 1 species
GGGCUCGUAGCUCAGUAGGAAGAGCACGGCUCUGAUAAAGCCGGGGUCGUUGGUUCGAAUCCAACCGAGCCCACCA